UUGACCUCUAGCCUGGGAACCUCCACAUGCCACAGGUGCAGCACACCCCCCCAAAAAAGACAAAAAAAGUUAAAAAUAAAAGCAAAUUUUCGGUAUUUCAAAUAUUUGGAGGUGUUAGAAAUGUAGGGACACCAGCAGCACUGGUGUCACCUGGGAACUAUUUAGAAAUGUAAGUUUUUGGACUCUACCCCAGAUGGGACCAGACUUGAAACUCUGGCGUUGGGGUGCUUUAACAGGCCCUCCAGGUGAUUCUAAUAUCUGAUAGAAAACCACUGGUCCAAAGAAAACCAAAUGUUAUGCUCUCUACACACUCUGUUUUGUCUUUGGGUUUAACACAGCAGCAUAUUCCAAAAGCCUCACAGUACCUAAGAUGGUGGGCUUAUGGAUCACUGUGAUAUAAUAACAAAUAUAAUUUUUGGACUUUGCUCCUUAGCUCCUGGCCAGAGCUCUUAAAAUCCUUGUAAUUUUCUAAGGUAUGAGCAGUAGGAGCAAAAUGUUCUAACAUUUGGUUACUGUCCCCAGCUCCUGAAGCAGCUCUCCUGUGACAUCAAAAUGAUCUUUUGUUAUUCAAAACAAGCCCCUUAGAGCUCCUGCUGAGUUUAUGUUGAGGAGGUGGUCCUGGAAAGCCUCCUAAGUAGGGAGGCACGUUGCCAGGGGAACCAACCUUCUGAUUGAGGAUUGGUACUUUUAGCCCAGCCCCUCGACUUCCAGGAGGAGACCUGGGCUGCAGGUUGAGUUCAGCACCUGUAGCCAAUGAGGUGCUUUACCUAACGUGCUUACGUAAGGAGGCCGUCCUCACAAACUUUUUGGAAGGGGGUUGGCUGGAGCAGUUGGGUCUGUAGCCAUGGCGGGAGGUUGGCGUCCUCGGAAGGAGUGUGGAAGUGCCAUGUGCUUUGCCCCGUGCAUCCCUUCCAUUUGGCUGUUCCUGGGUGGUAGCCUUUGUAAUGAACCAGUGGUCUGAAAUGCUGUGAGGACAGAAAUAUUAUGUUCUUAUAAAGGAGAAAGCAGAAGCUCAGAUUUCAAGGACUUGGGCCCAAACGGCGUUCAACUGGAAAGCUGGUCAUCCCUGAGGUCAUCGCUGAGCAUCCUUAACUGCCCCUGAUCUGUGGAUAGCUGCUCUGUUGUCCAUUUCAUUAGAUGCCCUUAAAACUAACAGAAAAGGGAAACAGCUGACGGCAUGUAACACUGCAGUGCUGAUCUUGGGGGACCUGUAGAGAACAACAUCAAGUGCAGGAGUGCCACGUUCCCAGGAGAUGUGCCGUCUGACUGCGCCGAGCUGCGCUGUUUUUGUGUUUCUUUCUUUCUUUCCUUUUUUUUUUUUUUUUUUUUUUUUUAAAUACCGAAGCAGACCGUCUUUCCUCACAGCUCCAGGGCUGCAUCGCUGUGGGCGCGCCAAGCUUCCCCUGGUUACCUGAGCUGCUCCUGCUGCCUCCCAGCCCCAGCUUCGCCACGGUCACCUGAACCCGGCAUUGCUGGUCUACGCAGUGCAGAAGAAGGACCUGCUGCUGGAGCUGUGGCCGGGGCCCCCUCACAGCCGGACAAGGGGACUUGGAAGACAGGGUGAUGCUGCAGAAGACCCGGGGUGGGACGCAUGGGAAGAACGCCAAGGACCGGGGCAGGGGAAGUUAGGAAUACUUUCCAUCCAGUGCCCACUGGUCCUCUGAAGGGCAAGGGCAGGCCACAGCCCCUUCCUUGCGCCCCCAGCUGGGGCUGCUCCCAGGGAUCAGUCUUGAUGAGAUGUGGUGGCAUUUUACCUGGGAGUGGAGCUGACGAUGGAUAAACCAGGUAUCUGACGUGUCUGCCUGCCCGAGGAAGAGGCAGAGUUGGAGAAAGGCAGAGCGAGGGAGCGCCUGAGAAGAAAGAGGAGAUGCAGAACGCCGUUUGAUCAUCUGCCGCUCGCCCUGCAUUCUCAUUCUAGGAGGAUGGCAUAAUUUACAACCCAGUACAUGGAUGGAGGAACUGUAAAUUGUAGUCUGGAUGUCCCCGGUGCUGUCAAGGAAGAAACUGAUGGGCUAGGUGACUGUACCAGUGUCCCCAGAGGAAAGAGCAGCCUUGCAGCAUGGAUUUAAAUGCAUGUGCAUGCAUGUAGAGACAUGAAAAAAGAGAUUUCUGACCAUUUUACACAGGAAGUCUGUCACUUGGCUGGAUUGGGCUUGAUUGCAGCUUGUAUUUUCAGCUUCAGCUCAACACCCAUUUCCUGACUAGCCAGAGAGAAUGGCCAAAGCAGCUGCAUGCAGAAUUUUCUUGUUAAUGUGCAAGCAACCCUCCUCAGCUUUAACUCCUUGAAGUUCUGAGUGCUCUGUGCUUCUCUAGGACUGAUUGUAGGGUUUUGUUUUCUUCUUCUACAGAUCCCUGUAAACACAGCUGUAUUCAGUAUGGUGAAAAAUUCUGUCCUGUAAAUAGAAAUCUGAUCAAUUUAAUCAAAAUAAAUGUAUCCCAGAUGACUUUGAGACCAGCUGGCUACCACAGGCUUCAGAUGCUAAAUGUUCAAUGGAGACGAAUGCAGUCUUAUAUUUACAUGUUUUAGAAUUCCCGGCUCAGCCUCUAAAUUAAGAAAAGGAGUCCUUUGCUCAGGAAGAGAUGGUCCUUACGAGCUUGCAGGUAGAUGGCUAGAUAGAGGUGCGGGAUACCGUUGAUGAAAUUUGGGAUUGCGGUGUUGCGUUUGGAGGGCGCGUGCCAUGCGGCAAAAAAGAGUCACACUCAGUAUAGAGGAAGCGCGGGAUCUCCCUUGCUGUGGGGAGAUGCACGUGCCCUGGGACAGCCUCUGGAGAGCUUGGGGAGGCGCUUGUUUGGGCUUUAGAUGCAUGAGCCGUGGCACCCCAAGCCCAGCUUGGUAAAGGAGUCAGCUCCAGUCUGGGGUAGAGGAGCUUUCCCAGUUGUCAUGGGGAGCUUGUCUGGGAUGCCUGUCUGGCCCUUCCACUGUUUGUUACUAUUUCUACAAAGGCAGCUCUGUGUGUUGGAUUAUGUUUGGCCAGCUGUUGACGCAUUCCUGCGGGUGGGGUUGGGUGGGGAUCUUAUUACUGUACUGUCCAAACUGUAGAUCUGUGUGCACGCACGGGGAGCAGGGAGGGAAUGGAAAGAAAGCAGGUUGGAGCUGCUGAUCCCUCUUAGCGCUCCCUCCAGAUAGUACUAGAGCCAAUCCAGAAAGGCUCAAAGUGGGAAGAAGGAGAAGAGAGGACGAUGGGGGGAGGGGAGCAGUGAGGGAAAGAGAGUGAAACUGAGCAAGCACAUAAGUGAGAAAAACAGACUCAGAACUUCAAAGCUGCAGAGACAAGCAGAAUGUCAGCAGCUUGUAAUUAGUGGUUCAUGGUUGCGUCAGUAACUGUAUCUCUCCAAGAAUAACUAUGUGAUGUGUGCCACAAAGUGCAGAAGACAGUCAUAACCGAGUUAUCAAACCCGGUUCAAACAAGGGCAAAUGAAUUAGGGAAUCUUCUAUGUUUGUAAAUCAAAUACUGAUGGAUUACACAUUUGAGAUUUGCUGAAUUCUGCAUAAUUGAAGGCUGAAUUAUUUAUUCAUUGGGGAGGUGGGGAUACUGUGUAUUCAUUAAAUGAAACUGUGGACCCUUAAAAAUGCAGAUUAAUUGUGUAAGAAAAUAUUAGCACUUUGCCCCAUCAGUGCAAGAUAUUCCCCCAAAUAGCCCAAAACAGCACUGCUCGUCUCCCUUAUCUCUGCAUCCUCAGGAAGUGUUUGUUUACGUGUUUUUGUGCAUUAACAUGGAGAGGAGUUAAAAGCUAUAUUCUGAUAAAUUGGGUCAAUUGAAUUUGAAAAUGCCCAUUUUAGAAUUUGAAAACUCCUGUGGGGUUCUGCUUUUUGUUGCUAGCCCUGGUAUAAACCUUGAAGGAGCCUUGGUUGUCCUGAAGCCAAACAGCAGUGCCUGAAUAACCCCAGGCCAAGUUGGGGCACCACCGUGGUUGAGAUUCUAAGGCCACGUUUUCACUUCCCUCCCUUGUCUCUGGUUCUUAGCGAUUGCGGUGCGCCCACAGCCCCCACAGAGACACGGUGGGAGGAGCUGAUUGGUUGGUAGGCUUAGGAUGUUUACUCUUAUUUGUUUUCAGCGCUCCUCCACGGCAUUCAUUGCCUAUUUGUAUUUGUGUUCACACUGCACAAUUACUCCACACCCGCUUUGUUUCUCUGCCCGAAGAGAAGUCAAUUUCAGUUCAGCCCCGCUCUCUCUCGGCUUCCUGGGUAAUACGCGCAUAUGUAUUACGUUACCCGUGUAUGCAUUUCCCUUUUUAAUGUGGAUUAGGGAGACGCGCAGGCAGGGGAAAGCCCUGUAUAUUAAAUCAAUAGCUUUUUGAAUCCCACGUAAUAUAAUUUAAAUAUACUUACUCUGAGGUUGCCAAAGCUGACAUUGUCGGAGCCCGUUUAAUUUACAUCUUCGAUUUAGUCAAGGAGCGGAACCUGCCAGAUCAGAAUAGCUCAUUCUGUGCACCCAACAGGGUGGAAGACAUUAUUUUGUUUGUGUUCGUUCAAACAGCUGGUCAUUAAUGCAGUCCCCAUUUCGGGACUGAAGUGCUGGUGGACGUGAAUGGCUGCCUGAUUAAUGCUGCCCCUCCGUGGGUCCUUCACCCAGCAGUCAUGCCCGAAGCAGAAUAAUGUAGCAUGAUGUGAUUGCUCUCUAACAGGGUAGUAUGUCAUUGUGUCACCAAGCAAUUGAGGUUAUUAUGGGGCAGGGCAGACAGACGGGACAGUGGGGUUACUAGACCGUAGCAUUUUUAGAAAUACAGGCCUGACCUACUUAGAGUUAUUCUCUCUGGCUGGCAGCUGCAUGGUACAUAAAGUCUUCCUGAUAGGCUGAGGCUGUUGCUAGGGGGAAUUAGCAUGAAUUUUUCCACACACAGACUCAGUGACUGAAUGAUAAAAGCUGACUGGAAUUAAGGAGAUUUGGUUUAGUAUUAUACAGAUUUAUCUGCCCUGGUUUUUUCUUUCUCAAGUGCAGAGGAAGGGUGCAAAAUACAGAUUUUUGCUUCCAUUAUUCUUCGUUGACCCUCCUGUUCUCCCCACCCGAAGAGGCACCAGAGCAGGGCAGUUAUGAAAUUUUGGUUAAUGGCUUAGGGUUGGGGUCAUGGAAACGAUGUUGCAAAUCACAAGAUAUUUCAGUUUAUAAAGACUGCUGCUAAGGACUAACAGAAGGUUGGGUUAUUUUUCCUCUCCUCUGCACUAAGCUGUUUUGAAGUUGGGCAUGCAUCUUUCAUGCACUGUGUAUUUAAACUCUCUUUCCCUUUUGGGCUGGAACAAAACAUUUAUAUAAAUUCUUUUCUAUCCAAACAGAUUGAAGCUUGCAAUCUCUGGUUUGUUUAAAAUAAGAUAGUAAGGAUUCCAGAUUUGGACAGGGGGGAAAAAUAUAUAUGUAUGUAUGUAUGCACUUAUAUAUAGCCCUUUUUUAUUACAAAAUAUUUUUUUCCUGGGCUAUUUUGGGUUUGGCUUAUUUUUCAAAAGCCAGCCUGUUGUUUAUACUCAUGGAUAAAACCUAACUGCUCCCACCCUACCCUCUUUGCUUCACAAUGUACAGAAAGACAUAGGUUUUUCUCCAGAAGAAAGAAUAUCUGCUGAAUUUAUCUGGAUAUUGUUUUUCCUCAACGCUGACAUAUAUACUGUGUGGAGAGACUUCACAUAAUCAGUUUUAUAAGAUGACCUGUGUUGUUUUCUCCUCCUGUCCUUUCCAAGUGUCUCUGUGUUUGUGAUUUUUAAAAGAUCUUUUCCAGAGGCAGAUUCUUGAUAGCUCUAUUAAAGUAAAUUCAGAGUCCACCAGGAGAAACAUAAAGGAAUAUAGAGUCAAGAACACUUAGAUUCUUCUUGUUCCUCAUAGUAGACUAUCUGUGCUUAAACCACAGUGUCCCUCUGUUACCUUAUCUGUCCCUCUGCUGAAAGGAAGCAUUGUCCUGCCUUUUUGAUUGGAAAUUAAUUUUUGUGAGAACAUGCUGUGAUGUCACAAGUACUCACAAGGCUUGGCUGCAUUAGGGAGGAGAAUAAUGUGGAUUCUUGUGAACUUGUAACAUUGGAUUCCUUGGCCCCAUGGAAGAUAAGUAACUGUAGAUGUGGAUUUUUCUUUUCCUUUAGGAUUUUAAAAGUAUUUAGGACUAUUUAGCUAUAAAUGUUUUCAAACAGUGGUUUCCACUUUUACCAGAGACCACAGUCAAAACAAAAAAAGAAACCCAUCCAUCUUCUUCUUCUCUUUUUUAAACCAGCAGUGUUUAUGUUUUGGCAUAAAAAUAUAGUUGAUCAAGCUAAAAGAGAGUGUAUUUUUUCUGAUGUGGUAACUACACACCCUUACUAGCUUUGAGAAUCCCCCAAAUAACAUUUUUUUUUUUUGUAAAGGUUUCCGACCAUACUAACAGUCUUUCUUAACUGAUUAAAAUGCUCAUUUAUGUUUAUUGAAUAAAAGAUUACCUUGGUGUGCUGUUCCUUCCAAAAUGAAGCAAUUUCAUUUAUGACUUUAAUAAGUGAACAUUUUUACUCUUCUUCAUAGUACUUUGUUUGGGUCAGUGGAUAACCAUUUAAAUAUUUAAAUUCAAAAUUAAAUGUCACUUUAAAUUACAGAAGGGAAAAUGUUAGCGUCAGUUUAUUAACUUGUUAAAGGACAGAUGCUUAAUUUUUAUAUUAGGUGCAUCCUCUGUCUGGGUCCCUAGUCAAAUUGAAUAUUGAAAUUUUUUUUGCUUCAUAAUAAAUUAAUCACACUGAAA